AUUGAACGCUGGCGGCAGGCCUAACACAUGCAAGUCGAACGGUAACAGGAAACAGCUUGCUGUUUCGCUGACGAGUGGCGGACGGGUGAGUAAUGUCUGGGAAACUGCCUGAUGGAGGGGGAUAACUACUGGAAACGGUAGCUAAUACUGCAUAACGUCGCAAGACCAAAGAGGGGGACCUGCGGGCCUCUUGCCAUCGGAUGUGCCCAGAUGGGAUUAGCUAGUUGGUGGGGUAACGGCUCACCAAGGCGACGAUCCCUAGCUGGUCUGAGAGGAUGACCAGCCACACUGGAACUGAGACACGGUCCAGACUCCUACGGGAGGCAGCAGUGGGGAAUAUUGCACAAUGGGCGCAAGCCUGAUGCAGCCAUGCCGCGUGUAUGAAGAAGGCCUUCGGGUUGUAAAGUACUUUCAGCGGGGAGGAAGGGAGUAAAGUUAAUACCUUUGCUCAUUGACGUUACCCGCAGAAGAAGCACCGGCUAACUCCGUGCCAGCCGCCGCCGUAA
rnacentral:rRNA from 1 species